rnacentral:misc_RNA from 1 species
GCAAAGAAGAGUACUGGGAGUGGAGGGAAGAAGAAGGGCCCAGCACAAUUGAGGGUUUUCAAUUUGGGAAAUACAUCUCCUGUACCUGUUACUGAUCUUGUGGGCAUUUUGGAAAGGCUUUUGAAGGUGAAGGCCAAGAGGAAUAUUAUGAAGUUGCCUAGGAAUGGGGAUGUUCAGUUUACACACGCCAAUAUUAGUUUGGCUCAGAGCGAACUUGGGUAUAAGCCCACCACAGAUCUGCAGACAGGGUUGAAGAAGUUUGUGCGAUGGUACCUCAGUUACUAUCAUGUUGGAGGGAAGAAGGCAGAUGCAUGAUGAAUUUAAUUCUUUCAGUUCUGUGUUCGGGUACUUGAAAAAAUUUAUUGUUCAUCAUGAUUCUUGUGAUUGUUUUUUCUUAACAUUU